rnacentral:lncRNA from 1 species
UGACAUUGCUUCUCAAGUAAUUGUGUACAGAGCAAGGCAAAAAGAUUCUUACUAGUACUAAACAAACUAUUCAUAGACUAAAAUUAGCUAAAGACAUUAAGAAAAUAAACAAAAUCUCAUCCAAGAUGAGAAGGAAAAAUGGAUGCCAUCUCUUCUCAGCCUGAAUCUACAAACUGUAGUACUGCCCGAUCCAGCACAUACCCCUAUUUACUUUUUCUCCAAACCCUCUUCUUACUCAUGAAGAGCAGAGCAAAAGAUUAAUAAAAUAAAAUAAAAAUAAAGAAAACAUAAAUGAAAAAAUAAAAAAAUAAAAAAGCUAAAAAGGAGGAAAAAAACUACAUCUUACAUCGAUAAAUGGCUAAAGAAAUGCAUGUGCUAAAAAAUCCAAAUCAGCCGGUGGACAACUGCAAGCAUGAACGUGCCAGAAGGUGAUACGUGACAUUCCUAUUUAAUUUGCAGCUGUUAGAAAUGCCAUUGAAGAAGCUCUCCCGUUUCCAUCGAGGAAACUAUCUAGCACAGGCUGCACAGGUAAAAAGCUGUCUGUAAAUUUGGUAAAGAGAGGAUGGGUUAUAAGCAGUGAAAGCAUGCACAUAAAAGGGCAGCUCGGUGCACUAAGCUCCCGCUAUGCGUGGGAUCCGGGGCCCCGAACCACAAGGGUCUAUUGUACGUAGCCUUACCCUGCAUUUCUGCAAGAGGUUAUUUCCACGGCUUGAACCCGUGACCUCCUG